UCCUUCUGGGUCCCUCUUUCUCCUUUUUUUUUUUGUGUAAAGGGAGCGCAGGCGGUGCGGCAAGUCUGAUGUGAAAGCCCGGGGCUCAACCCCGGGACUGCAUUGGAAACUGUCGUACUUGAGUAUCGGAGAGGUAAGUGGAAUUCCUAGUGUAGCGGUGAAAUGCGUAGAUAUUAGGAGGAACACCAGUGGCGAAGGCGGCUUACUGGACGAUAACUGACGCUGAGGCUCGAAAGCGUGGGGAGCAAACAGG
rnacentral:rRNA from 1 species